rnacentral:lncRNA from 1 species
GGGAGGUGGAGACAGGCAUAUCUCUGUGGAUUUGAGGUCAGCCUGGUGUACUUAGUGAGUUCCAGGACAGACAGUUCUAUGUACUAAACAGAUAGCAACACACACACACACACAACACACACAGAGUUCUCAUAGUGUCUCUGUGGAAUUAGUUGCGAUAAUUCAGUAAUUUCAGGAUAAUGAAGCCACAGAUCCUACAGGAAUGUGGAACAAAUGGUUUGAUACAUUUUCAAGAGGAGGACCAGGACAUUGAGGCAGUCCUUUGUUUUACGUUGUCCUUGGUAACUAAAUCAGAUAUUGAGUAGCUUUGGGAGCCAUUCAAUCAAGGUUGUACAUUUAUUUGUUACAGCUUUCAAACCGUCUUACUGUACAUUCUAAGGGUGGAUAAUGAUUCCCUUGAUCUACUUCCCAAAUACUCAUAAGGGAAAAAUCUAAAUACUGUAGGGCAAUAAAUUGUAAAAUACUGUCUUAAGAAAUUUUGUUUUCUUUUAGGUUCGCCAUGAAAUCAGUGUUAACAGUAUAACACAUAAACUGUGUAGUAACAGUUGCUUUAAUGAAUACAGAUUGACCAAUGGUCUCAUAAUGAACUGCUGUGAACAAUGUAGCAAAUAUAUGCCCAAGAGUACUGGACACAGCAUUCUGAUUACAGGACAGCAAAAGAGAUUCUGCUGCCUGAGUUGUGCUGACGAAUAUAAAGAGAUAAUGGAAGCAAAAUCAAAAAUACUGCUUUUACAAAACAGAAAAAGGAAUGCCAUCAGAGAAGAAAAUGAAAAAAAAUUAUAUGAAUCAUCAAAAACACUUUCAGGAAAUACAGGAGAAAUACCAGAAAAAAAGGAAAAGAUUUCAGAAAUAAUAAAAGUUGCAGCAGACUGUAGCCUAGAUACAUCAUCAGAGGAACGGAAUGUGAAUUUACCUUGUUCUGUGGCAGCAGUAUCUGAUAAAUUUCAAGAGCAACUAGGAGACAAAAAUUCAGAGGAAUUUGAUGCAUCUGUUGUACUUUCUUUGGAUCCAGGUUCAUGGCCCCGAAUUUUGAAUAUGAAACAACGUGAAUUUCUUGUCAAAACAGAGCCACCUCAAGUAAGAAAUUUUAAUUUUCCAAAAGACAGUAUAGGCAAGAAGUUUUCAGAAACAUACUACACACAGAUUCUUCCAAAUGGUGAGAAGACCACCAGAUCCUGGCUACUCUAUUCAGUCUCUAAAGAUUCUGUGUUUUGCCUAUAUUGCAGACUCUUUGGGGAAGGAAAAAAUCAACUGAGAAAUGAGAAUGGGUGCAAAGAUUGGCACCAUUUGUCACAUAUUCUUAGUAAACAUGAAGAAAGUGAAAUGCACAUCAACAAUAGUGUUAAAUAUUCAAAAUUUAAAUCUAACUUGCAAAAUAAAACCAACGAAGCUACAGAAGGUGGGGAAAAUAUUGUGCAACUGUUGUACAUAUAACACCCUGUCUGUUCUAUAUAUAUGACAGUGUGUGCAUUACCCAGACACUGUCAUCAAAAGUUUUGUGCCCGGAACCAGUACCAUACACUGUGUAAGAGGAACAAUUAGCAAUAUGUCUAAUAGCAAAUAAAUAGUGAAAACUGUUCUUGUUCU